ACUAUAUCUCAACUGAAUAGUUUAAGGGAGGGAUCGGGAAUCAGGUCCGCUUUGACACGGACUGCAGGACAUAAUACAGAAGGAGUUCAUAGCAUAAAGAACAAGAACUACGGCACCGCGCAGAAGAGAGAAGAAUUUAACCAGUAUGAUAAGCUUCACUUUCUAAUGUUCACCAGUUUCCUAUUUCUCUUGUUCUGUCCCAAAGAUCAUCAGUAGAAUCUUCUUUCUUUUUCGUUUUCGGGAUUAAACUGCAUUUUUUUGCUGAGCCCAUCAGAACAGUGAUGCGUAUGAGAAACUCCCCGCCCUACCCUGCAUGAGCUUUUGCUCCUCACUGCGGGGACUGCUAUACAACGUACUUGAGCAUGUGGAUCCAAAAACACCUUGCUUCACCAUCUCCCACACCAUUUCGUGGCUGGCUCAUACUUGAUGACCAAAGAGAUAUUUGCGGUCAUGUCACCAUUAGCAAAAUUGAUAAAACUAAAUCCGAUGUCAGCAAACAGAACGGCCUAUCUAUCCCAAAGAACAUCUCAAUUGAAGUUCCAGGCAAAUUGCAAGGGAACAACAUUACUUCUCCGCGAAUCAAGCAUUCUUCUACUCCUGCUUCUUUUUCCUCGUGCCCUUAUCUUUGUCAAAGGAAACACUAUAAAUCUCCAUCAAGUCGGGGAUUUCGUUCGAGUUCUUAACGAUAUACCUCCUCAAGAAACACUUCUCGGACAUUGUAUAUAUCCAGCCAUUCGACUUUUCCAUCUCAAGCAAACCUUUUGAUAAUAGGACCUCAAGAACCCUUUGCCUCUGGGGAAGCCUAGCCAACCCGUGACAAAGAAACUUCGGGUACUUAAUAAUCAUCUCCAGGUCAAUCUGUGAGACCCAGAAAUUUCUUUUUCCAAACAUGCAUACAUUACAUAUACAUACAUAUGAUUUUAUAUAUAUAUAUAUAUGUAUGUAUUAUAUAUGUACACGUUGCUGGAGAAGAACGGGAAAAAUAAAAUAAAAUAAAAUAAAAUAAAAAGAAGAAAGGGUAGAAAUGGGCAGACGUGGCCUUCAUUUUUCCCUGCAAUCCCUUCCACCGGCAUCCAUUUUCCCUUCAAUUGCUCUCUUUUUAUUUCUUUUUUUUUUUUUUGCUCUGUUUUGAGUUGUGGGGAAGCCGAAGAAGGAACAGAGUGAGAGUGAGACAGAGAGAGAGAGAUAGAGGACGAGACAGAGGGCAAUGGAGAGAACUCAAGGGAGAGGAAGCUAGGAAUGGAGGCUGCGGGAGAUGGUCAUAACGAGAAAGACGGAGAAGGCUACAUCGAGAGGUCAAGGAAUCGAGGACUCUGAAGGUUCAACUCGGUGAGCUAUCUUUCUGGGAGUUGUCGAUGAGCUAGGAGCUAGACUAACAGCACAGGAGAACAUUUUGGAAUAUUGGGGAUCAGCUCAGAGGAUUAAGUAGAGAUUUUAGUUAUUUGAUGAGUAUUUUUCUUUGUAUAGAAUGGAUUUGAAUAGAUUAUGACCUUAAAUUUUUAUUUAGUUGGUUAGUUAAUGUGAUAGUAGAUAUUGAGAUAAUAUAGGGAAAACGAUAAUGAAAUUUCGAGUCGUCACACAAUCUUCUCGGUGUUCAAGUAGAAGUCCAUCACUUCCCAAAUCUUCGCCCCGGAUAAACCGAGGCAAGAUGGGUUCUUCCUAAAAGUUGAAUGGACAUCCUCCUCGAACCACCCCAGGCUCUUCAAGACCUCGACUUUAUGGUUCCAGUUUGCUUCAUUCAUGUUGAGCAUAAUCCGUAGCAGCGCGUGGAUGAACAUCCCGUACUUUGGCUCAAUGCCCAUUCGCUUGACCGACUUCACCGCGCUAACCACCCUCUGGGGGGUCUGAACAGCUGCCCUGG